rnacentral:rRNA from 1 species
ACGAACGCUGGCGGCGUGCUUAACACAUGCAAGUCGAACGGUGAAGCGCCUUCCUUUUUGGUGGGUGUGGAUGAGUGGCGAACGGGUGAGUAACACGUGAGUAACCUGCCCCCUUCUUCUGGAUAACCGCAUGAAAGUGUGGCUAAUACGGGAUAUUCUGGGUCUGUCGCAUGAUGGGUCUGGGAAAGAUAUUGUUUCGGUGGGGGAUGGGCUCGCGGCCUAUCAGCUUGUUGGUGGGGUGAUGGCCUACCAAGGCGGUGACGGGUAGCCGGCCUGAGAGGGUGGACGGUCACACUGGGACUGAGACACCGCCCGGACUCCUACGGGAGGCAGCAGUGGGGAAUAUUGCACAAUGGGCGCAAGCCUGAUGCAGCGACGCCGCGUGAGGGAUGGAGGCCUUCGGGUUGUGAACCUCUUUCGCCAGUGAAGCAGGCCUGCCUCGUUUGUGGGUGGGUUGACGGUAGCUGGAUAAGAAGCGCCGGCUAACUACGUG